AUCUAUGGCCAUACCACCCUGAACACUCCCAUCAAUCUCGUCUGUCUCAGAAGCCAAGCAAGGUCAGGCUUGGUUAGUACUUGGAUGGGAGAAGGGAAGAAACAGCUGUGAACC
rnacentral:rRNA from 1 species